GAUGAAAAACGCAGCGAAAUGCGAUAAGUAGUGUGAAUUGCAGAAUUCAGUGAAUCAUCGAAUCUUUGAACGCACAUUGCGCCCCUUGGUAUUCCAUGGGGCAUGCCUGUUCGAGCGUCAUUUGUACCUUCAAGCUCUGCUUGGUGUUGGGUGUUUGUCUCGCCUCUGCGUGUAGACUCGCCUCAAAACAAUUGGCAGCCGGCGUAUUGAUUUCGGAGCGCAGUACAUCUCGCGCUUUGCACUCAUAACGACGACGUCCAAAAGUACAUUUUUACACUCUUGACCUCGGAUCAGCUAGGGAUACCCGCUGAACUUAAGCAUAUCAAUAAGCGGAGGA
rnacentral:misc_RNA from 1 species